rnacentral:rRNA from 1 species
AACGAACGCUGGCGGCAGGCCUAACACAUGCAAGUCGAGCGAGACCUUCGGGUCUAGCGGCGGACGGGUGAGUAACGCGUGGGAACGUGCCCUUUUCUACGGAAUAGCCUCGGGAAACUGAGCGUAAUAACGUAUACGCCCUUUGGGGGAAAGAUUUAUCGGGGAAGGAUCGGCCCGCGUUGGAUUAGGUAGUUGGUGGGGUAAUGGCCUACCAAGCCUACGAUCCAUAGCUGGUGUGAGAGGAUGAUCAGCCACACUGGGACUGAGACACGGCCCAGACUCCUACGGGAGGCAGCAGUGGGGAAUCUUAGACAAUGGGGGCAACCCUGAUCUAGCCAUGCCGCGUGAGUGAUGAAGGCCUUAGGGUUGUAAAGCUCUUUCAGCUGGGAAGAUAAUGACGGUACCAGCAGAAGAAGCCCCGGCUAACUCCGUG